AUUGAACGCUGGCGGCAUGCUUUACACAUGCAAGUCGAACGGUAACAGGCCGCAAGGUGCUGACGAGUGGCGAACGGGUGAGUAAUGCAUCGGAACGUGCCCAGUCGUGGGGGAUAACGCAGCGAAAGCUGUGCUAAUACCGCAUACGAUCUAUGGAUGAAAGCGGGGGACCGUAAGGCCUCGCGCGAUUGGAGCGGCCGAUGUCAGAUUAGGUAGUUGGUGGGGUAAAGGCUCACCAAGCCGACGAUCUGUAGCUGGUCUGAGAGGACGACCGGCCACACGGGGACUGGGACACGGCCCAGACUCCUACGGGAGGCAGCAGUGGGGAAUUUUGGACAAUGGGCGCAAGCCUGAUCCAGCAAUGCCGCGUGCAGGAAGAAGGCCUUCGGGUUGUAAACUGCUUUUGUACGGAACGAAAAGGCUCUGGUUAAUACCUGGGGCUCAUGACGGUACCGUAAGAAUAAGCACCGGCUAACUACGUGCCAGCCGCCGCCGUAA
rnacentral:rRNA from 1 species